AGUCGAGGGGCAGCAUGGUCUUAGCUUGCUAAGGCCGAUGGCGACCGGCGCACGGGUGAGUAACACGUAUCCAACCUGCCGUCUACUCUUGGACAGCCUUCUGAAAGGAAGAUUAAUACAAGAUGGCAUCAUGAGUCCGCAUGUUCACAUGAUUAAAGGUAUUCCGGUAGACGAUGGGGAUGCGUUCCAUUAGAUAGUAGGCGGGGUAACGGCCCACCUAGUCUUCGAUGGAUAGGGGUUCUGAGAGGAAGGUCCCCCACAUUGGAACUGAGACACGGUCCAAACUCCUACGGGAGGCAGCAGUGAGGAAUAUUGGUCAAUGGGCGAGAGUCUGAACCAGCCAAGUAGCGUGAAGGAUGACUGCCCUAUGGGUUGUAAACUUCUUUUAUAAAGGAAUAAAGUCGGGUAUGGAUACCCGUUUGCAUGUACUUUAUGAAUAAGGAUCGGCUAACUCCGUGCCAGCAGCCGCGGUAAUACGGAGGAUCCGAGCGUUAU
rnacentral:rRNA from 1 species